rnacentral:misc_RNA from 1 species
UUUCCGUAGGUGAACCUGCGGAAGGAUCAUUAAAAAUGUGGUACCAUUUUGGUACUAAUUAAUCAUCCUACCCUUUGUGAAUUUGUUUGUAGAAUUUUUUUAAAUGGGUCUUCCCUAAGUUGGAUUGUAGUAAAAUACAAAAGACUUAGGGGAAUGACUUUUUAAAAGACUUUUUUUAAUUAAAACUUUUUGUAUUCAUUUGUCUAAAAUUUAUUUUUAUAAUAUAAAACAACUUUUGACAAUGGAUCUCUUGGUUCUCGCAACGAUGAAGAACGCAGCAAAUGCGAUAAGUAGUGUGAAUUGCAGAAUACGUGAAUCAUCGAAUCUUCGAACGCAUAUUGCACUUUUUAGUUUACUAAAAAAGUAUGUCUGUUUGAGUAUCAGUAAAAUAUUCUCACAAACAUAUAUUGUUUGUGGUUAUGAGUGUUUUACAACGAUAACAAGUUGUUUCACUUUAAAUUCUUUUAUUGAAUUUUUACCAAUUUACAAAUUAAAAUUGGAUAAAAUUUUCCUUAACGAGGAAUAACCUAAACAAUUUAAAUUUUUGGAUUGUAAUUCACAAAGGAAUCUAUACACAAAUAACUUGAUCUCAAUCAGAUAAGAGUACCCGCUGAACUUAAGCAUAUCAAUAAGCGGAGGAAAAGAAACUAACAAGGAUUCCCUUAGUAACGGCGAGUGAAGCGGGAAGAGCUCAAAUUUGAAAUCUUCAAGGUUUGACCUUGACGAAUUGUAGUUUAUAGAAGUGUUUUCUGUUGAGUUUUGGUAAAGUUCUUUGGAAUAGGACAUCAUAGAGGGUGAGAAUCCCGUAUUUGACCAUGACUUUCCAGCUGUGUGAUACACUUUCAAAGAGUCGGAUUGUUUGGGAAUGCAGUCCAAAUGGGUGGUAAAUUUCAUCUAAAGCUAAAUGUUGGCGAGAGACCGAUAGCGAACAAGUACCGUGAGGGAAAGAUGAAAGAACUUUGAAAAGAGAGUUAAACAGUACGUGAAAUUGUCAAAAGGGAAGCGUUUGACACCAGUGUUGUUUUCUCGAAAUCAAUUUAAUGAGUUCUUGUUUUUAAGUUAUUGUGACUUUAUCAGCGCAUUUCUUAUUUUACUUGACUCAUUGAAUGCACUUUUCGUUUAACAAGUCAACAUCAUUCUUUGGUGGUAAAAGUUAAAGGAAGGUGGCUUGGACUUCGGUUCAAGUGUUAUAGCCUUUUUUCUAUGCCAUCGGAGAGAUUGAGGUCUGCAGCGUAGAUCCUUCGGGGUUAGAUACCUUUGUGCUAAGUUAUAGUUUUUUAUAGACAACUUGUUGACUAUAAUUAACCCUGUAAUUUACUCGCUUAGGCUAUUUUACCUACGCUUAGGAUGUUGAG